AUUUACAUUUCUUGCAGGUUUCAAUGUGGUUUUGCGCGGAUCCAACAGCCCUUGUAAAGGCCGGCUGGAGGUGUAUGAUGAUGAUAAGAAGCAGUGGGGCUUGGUGUGUCAUUACGGGUGGAAAAAAGAAAAUGGAGAGGUUGUGUGUAAAUCAAUAGGGUGUGGGAAUCUUACACGCUCUGAUACAGAAAUGACCCUCUACAAAGAUCCACCUCCACCACAACAAUAUUUGAUUGGUGAAGUGAAAUGCACAUCUAAAGAAGAGAGCCUUUGGAAAUGCCCAUAUGUUGGCAUAACUAAAAAAGAGAAGUGUGAUGAAAGUAGUUUUGUUGCUGUUGAAUGCUCUGGUAGGUAGUAUUCCUAUAUAUAUAAAAAAAUGUUUUAUGUUUGUAUUCCUGUCAUCUAAGUUCAGAUGUGAAUCUACACAUUGUUGAUGCCAAGCUUUACACCACAGGAGAAGUUAAACUGAGUUUGAAUCUGAAUGGACAGUGUGAUAAAUGUGCUGGUGUGGUGGAGUUCACAACAGCCAACGGCAUCAUUGGGGUCUGUAAUAAAAACUGGGAUGAAAGUAAAGCAAACAAGAUAUGUCAGGAGCUUGGUUGUGGAGAUCAUCAUUACAUCCCCAAGCCUGGAAUGUUCAAAGGACAACAGAGCAAACAAAAUGUUUUGCUUAAUUGUGUUAGCGAUGAGAAGUUCUCUUGGCAGUGUAUGGAGUGGUCAGACUGCCAGGAGCGAGCCAGUGUGAUCUGCAGCAAUCACAGGAGGUUCCGUCUACGAGAUGGCAGCGAUGCUUGCUCUGGGUUGGUGGAAGAGUACAGUUUCGAAAAAAAAUCAUGGGAUCUUCAGCAGACAAAUGUGAGGCCUGAAGUCAUCUGUACGCAACUGAACUGUGGUUCCACUGGAAACUUUACAAAGGCUAAUGGAACUAACAGACUGACGUGCUCAGACAGAGUGAAACUCCACAAUUUCACAUCAGAGUGUUUUGGAGAUGUCUCCAUUGAUGUGAAUGGUGCUAACUAUAAAGUGUGCUACAGUGAUCAGUCCCGUGAAAAGAUGGGGGCGGUGGUCUGUCGAGAGCUUGGCUGUGGCGACAUAGUGCAUGUGAAACAGGGUUCCUCUGCUUCUAAUGGUUUGCUGAGUAAUGUUGAUUGUCAGGGCGAUGAGCAGUCACUGUGGCAUUGCCUGGCAAUUCAUGAGAAAAAACAAUGCUGGGGAACCAAAGUUAUAUGUUCAGGUAACUAAGACGGCUUUGCAGUCAAUUAUAAUGAACUCAGAAUCUGGGACAACCAGAA
ensembl:lncRNA